rnacentral:rRNA from 1 species
CAAUAGCGUAUAUUAAAGUUGUUGCAGUUAAAAAGCUCGUAGUUGGAUUUCUGGUUGAAGCGACCGGUCGGGCGUUGAUUCGUCUGCACUGGAGUCGGUUUUGGCCAUCCUCUAGGAAAGUGCGUCUGGUAUUAAGUUAUCGGGCGUAUGAUCCUGGUCUUUUACUGUGAAAAAAUUGGAGUGUUUAAAGCAGGCCUUCGCCUUGAAUACAUUAGCAUGGAAUAAUAAGAUAGGACUUUGGUCUAUUUUGUUGGUUUGCAGACCGAAGUAAUGAUUAAUAGGGAUAGUUGGGGGUAUUUAUAUUCCGAUGUCAGAGGUGAAAUUCUUAGAUUUUCGGAAGAUAAACUUAUGCGAAAGCAUUUACCAAGGAUGUUUUCAUUAA